rnacentral:lncRNA from 7 species
ACGGAGACGUAGACGAAGGCUUCGAUGAUUUAGAGAUUCACACGACACACACCAGUAUGACUCGAGCUCUCUCUUAGAUAUGUUUGACAGCUGUCGGUAUCCUGAAUCAGGGAUACCCUCUUUAACAGUAUGAAGACGCUGCACCCGUACGACACCUUCAGGUCACACAGAGAGCGGCACCCGACCCCACCACAUGGGCAGGCCUAAGGGCACCACAUGGCGAGGAAGGAUAAUACGUCCCAGUAAGCACCGUUGGGUCCGGAUCUUCAUAGAGGAACACCGGACCCCUGUGAGUACGAGCCCGGAGCUCCCGUGGAGACAUGCCAGAUGAAAGUCGCCUAGAGGGGGGUGAAUAAGCAAAUCUGAAAUUUAUAAAGUUUAAGCACAACUACAAGCCGGGGUUAGCGUUAGAAAUAAAGUUGAGUCCGAAAGAGAGGGGAAACAAAUCACAAGCGAAUAAGGCGAAUGACACGGUGAUUUGUUUUACCGAGAUUCAGUUCUUGCAAACCUACUCCCAGUUGAGGUGGUCACAAAGACCGGGUCUCUUUCAACCCUUUCCCUCUCUCAA